ACCACGGAAACUACCACGGAAGCAUGCACACAUGUUCUCAUGCUGAACUGCGGAAACCUGAUACAAAAGUGCAGUAACGAGAGCGGAGUAGGCAAUGUCAAAGUGUCAUUGAAUUACUAGAGCAUUGCUGACUGUCAUGCAUUGCACAGCACCUCUGUUGUUCAAAGAAAUCUGAAAUAAUCACUUUCCUGGAGGCCUGAAGAGACAGGAUUUUUUUUUGUAUUCAGUUUAUCUGUACCUGAACGCUGGUUUCUCUGGUCUCCCAUGGGAAAUGGGUCACACUAGAUGGAGUUCACCCCUGUGAGACAGAACUGCAAAGACUUGGGCUUUUCGCCUGAAUGUGAGUGAAUGUGUUGUGCCUGCUCUGGCACGCAUCAGCUCCCGCAGUAAAGGCUUUCUAAUGUUAUGGACAAUUAAUCGUGUGAACUUCAUUCACCACAGCUGCAUGGUCAUCAGCAUAAUUUGAACAGAUAAGUGAACAAGUGUUUAACGUCAUUGACAUAGAAAAAGACCCAUUACUAAGAUGAACUCUGUGUGCCACACAUCACUGCAUGGCACACCGCAGGCAUUUAGUCUGGUACUUCCAGUCUGACACAAAAGGAAUUUGGCCAAGACACUAGAUUUAAUGAGCUUCAUUGAUGAAAAGUGCCAAGACAGCUUUAGUGGCUUCAGUUAAUCAAGAGUCUUAACUUUUGAUUAACUGAAGGGAAAUAAAACCAUCCCUCAAAUUUUAAGGUUUUUACAUGCAUAUUAUUAUCCAUCACCAUUUCUGUCCUUAUGGAGACAAUGUGCUGCCAGGUAAAUUAUCAAAACAAUUUAUUAGCAAUUAUAUAUAGUUCAAACAUUUUCAAUUGUUUUCAGGAUGGUAACCCCUAAACAUUUCUAGCCCAGCUGGAUGUACCAGAGAAAUUUCACAUACAUACCUGACACUAUGAUUUUAUUAACUUUUCUUGUCAGCUUUUGUGGAUCCCAGAUAAACAGUGCACGGACUCCCUCAGGGUCUGCAGUUCCCACAGCUUGAAGCCCCUGGACUAGAACAUUUAUAACUGCUCAGGACAGUGCCCUGCACACCUCUGUAUUAUUUUCUUUUUGAACAGGAAUAUUUCAUUUUGAAAAGCACUUUACCAUUUUACAUAUGUACUAAUGAUAAUGCCCUUAAUAAUAUGGUUUAACUUUUGGUCAGCCCUGAAGCGGUCAGGCAGUUGGAUGACCUUUGUAGGUCCCUUCCAACUGAAUUCUCUUCCCCUCCCCUCCUCUCCUCCCUUUGUCUGGACAGAGCCCUCAGCGACUCCCCUACAGCUCUUUUACUGGGCAAACCCUGAACAUGAGAAAAGAAAUGGCUUGUAGACCUGAUGGAAUUAGACUCCCCCUAAUAGUGGAACACUACGCAUUUUGUCCAAAUACCUUUAGUGCACCCCAUUCACCAAGACUGAGUAUCAAGCUCAUUUUCAGUUGUAUUCUUGCUCCUUUUUUUCUUCAACUUGCACCUUCAGUAAGAGAAACAGAGAGCAUUUGGCAUUGCCUUACCCCAGCAAAGAAGUGACGGGUCUGAGCUUCCUGAUGCAAAAGCAGAACACAGGUGUCUCAGACAAGUGCUCGACAGCUGCAUGAUGUGAGAAGGAAGAAGAGCUUCCCUCUUUCCUUCGGUUUCAGAGGGACUAGCAGCUGCCACUGCAUUUUUUCAUUAGCCGGGUGUGCAAGGCAUAGAUUUACCUCUCUGUGAGUGCCGCAGGAGCCCUCCAAGGCAUACGUGGUACAGAGCUGGAGCACAGGGGCGCAGCAGGGCCCUGGCUGGGGGCAGCUCGGGGGGGUGGGGGGCAAGGACGACCCUGGUCCUGCUGCAUGUCUGCCGUGCACCAUCAGACCAGGCUGCAGGCGCUGAACGUGCAGGAAAACCCUGAGUGAGCAACUGAGCGGGCUCACAUCUCAGAGAAAGCGUGUCUGCCUGGAAUUUGUGCUUUAAAAAUGAGUGAAAUUGUCAUAGAAAAAUUGACUUGCUCCCCCUUUUCUAUAUGCUUUUACUUUGAUAUAUUCAACAACAACAAAACAGAAUUACUGCACUUUACUUACAAACAGGAGUGAGAUAAUUUUGCUCUGAAUCUGAAACCGAGUCUCUAAAGAAACUGUUAAAAGAGGAAUCAGCAGGACAUAACAAAGGUUUUCAGACUGAAGAGGGAAGCCAUCCCUCCUAGGAAUAGGAUGGAUUUAAGAAAUGUAUGAAUAUCUUCUAUUAAGAAGGAAUAUAAAUUCUAUAACCAGCUUUUUGGAUUUAUAUUUGAACACAAAAAUCAAUGACUUAAUACAGAAAAUGCAUGGGCUCAGGCCUGUUUAGUCAUCCCAAAAGACCCAGUGUCCCCUCAGUGGGGAAUGAAGAUAUUACAGAAGAGAGACGUUGCAGUCCCAAAAGCAAAGGGGGGAUUAGAAAAAAAUCUUUCCCUGCAAUGACUUGAAGUCCUUGAGGAAACUUUUUGCUGUGUGUGCUGUGUGGAACAGACCACGCGAGCAGGUUGUGGGGCUGCUGCUGGUGAGCGCAAUGGCCAGGCUUCCCAAAGGCAGCCCGGCCCGG